rnacentral:tRNA from 2 species
GCGGGCAUCGUAUAAUGGCUAUUACCUCAGCCUUCCAAGCUGAAGACGCGGGUUCGAUUCCCGCUGCCCGCUCCA